AGUGAACGCUGGCGGUAGGCCUAACACAUGCAAGUCGAACGGCAGCACAGGAGAGCUUGCUCUCUGGGUGGCGAGUGGCGGACGGGUGAGGAAUACAUCGGAAUCUACUCUGUCGUGGGGGAUAACGUAGGGAAACUUACGCUAAUACCGCAUACGACCUACGGGUGAAAGCAGGGGAUCUUCGGACCUUGCGCGAUUGAAUGAGCCGAUGUCGGAUUAGCUAGUUGGCGGGGUAAAGGCCCACCAAGGCGACGAUCCGUAGCUGGUCUGAGAGGCUGAUCAUCCACACUGGAACUGAGACACAGUCCAGACUACUACGGGAGGCAGCAGUGUAGUAUAUUGGACAAUGGGCGCAAGCCGGAUCCAGCCAUACCGCGUGGGUGAAGAAGGCCUUCGGGUUGUAAAGCCCUUUUGUUGGGAAAGAAAUCCAGCUGGCUAAUACCCGGUUGGGAUGACGGUACCCAAAGAAUAAGCACCGGCUAACUUCGUGCCAGCCGCCGCCGUAA
rnacentral:rRNA from 1 species